AGCGGAGGAAAAGAAACUAACAAGGAUUCCCCUAGUAACGGCGAGUGAAAUGGGAAUAGCCCAACUUGAAAAUCUCCCUUUGGAGAAUUGUAGUCUAUAGAAGCGUCCUCUGUGGCGGCCUGAGCCCAAGUCCGCUGGAAAGCGGCGUCAGAGAGGGUGAGAACCCCGUCGGCUCUCGGCUUAGCUACUCCACGAGGUGCUUUCCACGAGUCGGGUUGUUUGGGAAUGCAGCCCAAAAUUGGAGGUAAAUCCCUUCUAAGGCUAAAUAUUGGCGAGAGACCGAUAGCGAACAAGUACCGUGAGGGAAAGAUGAAAAGAACUUUGAAAAGAGAGUUAAAAAGUGCUUGAAAUUGUUGAGAGGGAAGCGAUUGGAGGGUGUGGGUGCGUCUAGGCUUAUGUGUCUCUAACGAGCCGCUGUAUGUGCUAGAUGCUGGUCAGCAUGGGUUAGUCGGGCGGGAUAAAAGCAUGGGUUGAUACCGUGUCUAUGCCGCCUGGCUGAUCAAGGUGUGAUUGGCGCUUAGUCCUUCGGGAACUGCGUCAACAAGAUGCUGGCAGAAGCCCUUCAAUCGGCCCGUCUUGAAACACGGACCAAGGAGUCUAACAUGUAUGCGAGUUGGUGGGUGGAAAACCCAUGAAGCGCAAGUAACCUGACUGGUGGGAUGGCCUGUGCCUGCACCAUCGACCGACCAUGAUCUUCUGUGAAAGGUUUGAGUGCGAGCAUACCUGUUGGGACCCGAAAGAUGGUGAACUAUGCCUGAGCAGGGUGAAGCCAGAGGAAACUCUGGUGGAGGCUCGUAGAUGUGCUGACGUGCAAAUCGCUUUUCGGACUUGGGUAUAGGGGCGAAAGACUAAUCGAACCUUCUAGUA
rnacentral:rRNA from 1 species